rnacentral:rRNA from 1 species
UACGUAGGUGGCAAGCGUUGUCCGGAUUUACUGGGCGUAAAGAGCGCGCAGGCGGCCGGGCAAGUCGAGUGUGAAAGCCCCGAGCUUAACUUGGGAACUGCGCUCGAAACUACUUGGCUAGAGUGUGGCAGAGGGAGGUGGAAUUCCACGUGUAGCGGCGAAAUGCGUAGAGAUGUGGAGGAACACCGAUGGCGAAGGCAGCCUCCUGGGCCAACACUGACGCUCAUGCACGAAAGCGUGGGGAGCAAACAGG